rnacentral:rRNA from 1 species
UUCCCUACGGGACGCAGCAGUCGGGAAUAUUGCGCAAUGGAGGAAACUCUGACGCGGUGACGCCGCGUAUAGGAAGAAGGUUUUCGGAUUGUAAACUAUUGUCGUGAGGGAAGAAAUUGACAGUACCUCAGGAGGAAGCUCCGGCUAACUAUGUGCCAGCAGCCGCGGUAAUACAUAGGGAGCAAGCGUUAUCCGGAUUUACUGGGUGUAAAGGGAGCGUAGACGGUUGUGCAAGUCUGAAGUGAAAGCCCGCGGCUCAACUGCGGAACGGCUUUGGAAACUGUGUAACUGGAGUGCUGGAGAGG